rnacentral:lncRNA from 1 species
UGUAUAAAAGGCAAGAGCUUCUGCCACGUACUAUCUUCUGAAUAAUAAUCCAGACACAUAGCAUCACAGAAAGCAGCCCAAUGAUUGUUCGUCAACCACUUCGGUGGCAGAAGUUUACUGUGGUGUUCUUUACUCUUACUUUUCAUGGCGGACACUUCGGUGCGACUUUCGAAGACCUGCUAACUCUACCAGUAUAACCUGUAUGCUGAACUGCAUAAACACUUGGAAGGACGAGCGGGACCCGUCAGGCGUGUGAGCAUGUAUCCAGGGACACCUGCAGCAGAGUACACACUUCGCUACUGGAAUAAGGAGGAGCGUUGUGCUCUUUACACUAUGACGCUCAUAAACAAGGCUACUUGUGUAAUGGACAUAUGGAAUGAAAGAAUUGGGCAGAAAUUUCCCAAAUGUUAUGCAGAAUAUUACAAACAUUGUAGGGAACAUUAUCCUGUCUACAGCUCUGACUGCAGAAAGGAGUGACUUCGUACGUGACAAGGACGGAGGCGGUCAGCAAGCGCAGCACUUGUGCGAAAAAAAAGUCAAUAAAAAGUAUAAUACACUCUUAUUCGCACGCACAACUAGUAUUAAAACGUUACUUCCUUCUCA